CUAGGAGCACCAAGGGUGUUCAUUCACUGUUUUAUUUUUCAUCCAGGGUGUCCAAUUUAAUAAUCAUGGGAGCGCCAAAUCAAUGGCUUGUCCCCAAGCAUUUGUACAUGUCAAUUCAUUAAAUCAAAAGAGGAAAAGGAAAGAAGAAGCGGAGCCCAAAAGAAAAAAAAGAAGAGGCACACCCACCCCACCCAGACCACACGAGAGAAGAAAAGCGAGCAGAUAGAUAUCCAUCACUGCCCUCAAUCUGUCAGAGCUCGUGAGAGAUCUCUCAAACUUUUCCCCACCCGAAACCCUCGAUCGCCGCCUCCACCCACCAUGUCGCCGCCGGCACCGGCGCUGCUGGACGAGCUCCUCGAGGAGAUCUUCCUCCGCCUUCCCCCGGACGAGCCCGAGCACCUCGUGCGCGCCUCCCUCUCCAGCAAGCGCUGGCUCGGCCUCCUCUCCGGCGCUCGAUUCCGCGGCCGCUACCGCGAGCACCACCGAGCUCCCCCCAUGCUGGGCUUCCUUUAUUCCUUCCACUUCAACUCCCGCGCGGAGACGAAAGAUAACAUCCCACACUUUCUCCCCACCACCAAAUUUCGUGCGUGCAUCCCCGACGACGACUGGUUGGGCUACAGUGCGUUGGACUGCCGUCAUGGCCGCGUUCUCAUUGGCGAAGUGGCCUAUCGACCCAUGACGGGCUGCCGGCGGGAGCUGGAGGCGCCCGCCCUGGUGGACGACAGCUAUGGGGUCGCGGUGCUCUGCGCCGUGGCCGGCUGUGACCACCGCACUUGUCACGCAGGCCCCUUCCAGGUCGUCUUUGUCGGCCUGGACCAUUGUCAUGAAGAUGGGUGUGUUGCACGGGCGUGCGUGUCCCGGCCGGUGACGGGUAACCACAGCAAGCCGGGCUUUCAAUCUCCUUUUGAUAAGUGGAGCAAGCGAUGCUCUGCUCUUCAUCUCUUGACUCCGGUUUGUACAUCCACCAAGCGCCCCCUGUCUUCGUCCAAGACACACUUCAUUUCAAGCUUUGUAACCGUGCCGAAGAUCGCGUAGUAGGAAUUCUCAAGUACGACAUGAGCACUAAUAGCUUAUCGCUGAUUGAUAUGCCGCUUGCGUGGUCUGUCAAUGCCAAUGCUUCUAUCCUCGUGGCGAUGGAGGAUGACAGUUUGGGGUUUGCACAUGUCGACGGGUUAAUCCUCAAUCUGUGGUCAAGGCACAUGGGUUCUGACGGAGUCGCGUCAUGGACUCAGCGUGCAGUCAUGGAUAUCAAGGACAUUCUUCCCAUUCGAAAUCCAAAUAAAAGACUUAGGCUGAUUGGAUCUGUGGAAGGCACCGAUAUCAUUUUCGUGACCACAGAUCUUGGCAUCUACAAGAUUAAUCUCAAGUCACUACAGUGGAACAAGGUAUGGGAGAGAAAAAAGUUUCAAGCUUUCAUCCCGUACAUGAGUUUCUACAAUCCACAAGAAAGGGUGACCCCCAGUGAUGCAGCUCAUUAAGAGUGUGUGGUUCAAUAUGUACAAGGCUACAUUCGUCAACAAGAUAGGUGACAAACUUGGAGGCAACAGGGGUCUCGUGAUGUCGUGAUGAAUUAUGUCAUUAUUCGGUACUCCUUUUGGUGCAGUGGUGCUUGCUUGUUUUCUGAUGUUGUUUUUGUCAGUUAGCUUGAUAAUCUCCCGUGUUAAUGGCGGGGUGAAUUGAUUAUAUUUGUACCUCUAAUUUUAUCUGCCCUGUUGUAGAAUUUGCUUGAAAAAGCAUUUGCACAGUAACUUGUUCUUGCCAUUUUAAAAACUCUACAGUUUGCUCUCUC